rnacentral:rRNA from 1 species
AGUGAACGCUGGCGGUAGGCUUAACACAUGCAAGUCGAACGGCAGCACAGUAAGAGCUUGCUCUUACGGGUGGCGAGUGGCGGACGGGUGAGGAAUAUAUCGGAAUCUACUUUUUCGUGGGGGAUAACGUAGGGAAACUUACGCUAAUACAGCAUACGACCUACGGGUGAAAGCAGGGGAUCUUCGCACCUUGCGCGAUUGAAUGAGCCGAUGUCGGAUUGGCUAGUUGGGGGGUUAAAGGCCCACCUAGGGGACGAUCCGUAGCUGGACUGAGAGGAUGGUCGGCCACACUGGAACUGAAACACGGUCCAGGCUCCUACGGGACGGAGCAGUGGGGUAUGUUGGGCAAUGGUGGCAAGCAUUAUCCAGCCGUACCGCGCGUGAGGAGAAGGCCUUGCGGUUGUAAAGCCCUUUUGUUGGGAAAGAACAGCAGCAGGUUGAUACCCCGCUUUUCUGACGGUACCCAAAGAAUAAGCACCGGCUAACUUCGUG